rnacentral:rRNA from 1 species
AGAGUUUGAUCCUGGCUCAGGACGAACGCUGGCGGCGUGCCUAAUACAUGCAAGUCGAACGCUUUUUCUUUCACCGGAGCUUGCUCCACCGAGAGAAAAAGAGUGGCGAACGGGUGAGUAACACGUGGGUAACCUGCCCAUCAGAAGGGGAUAACACUUGGAAACAGGUGCUAAUACCGUAUAACACUAUUUUCCGCAUGGAAGAAAGUUGAAAGGCGCUUUUGCGUCACUGAUGGAUGGACCCGCGGUGCAUUAGCUAGUUGGUGAGGUAACGGCUCACCAAGGCCACGAUGCAUAGCCGACCUGAGAGGGUGAUCGGCCACACUGGGACUGAGACACGGCCCAGACUCCUACGGGAGGCAGCAGUAGGGAAUCUUCGGCAAUGGACGAAAGUCUGACCGAGCAACGCCGCGUGAGUGAAGAAGGUUUUCGGAUCGUAAAACUCUGUUGUUAGAGAAGAACAAGGAUGAGAGUAGAACGUUCAUCCCUUGACGGUAUCUAACCAGAAAGCCACGGCUAACUACGUGCCAGCAGCCGCGGUAAUACGUAGGUGGCAAGCGUUGUCCGGAUUUAUUGGGCGUAAAGCGAGCGCAGGCGGUUUCUUAAGUCUGAUGUGAAAGCCCCCGGCUCAACCGGGGAGGGUCAUUGGAAACUGGGAGACUUGAGUGCAGAAGAGGAGAGUGGAAUUCCAUGUGUAGCGGUGAAAUGCGUAGAUAUAUGGAGGAACGCCAGUGGCGAAGGCGGCUCUCUGGUCUGUAACUGACGCUGAGGCUCGAAAGCGUGGGGAGCGAACAGGAUUAGAUACCCUGGUAGUCCACGCCGUAAACGAUGAGUGCUAAGUGUUGGAGGGUUUCCGCCCUUCAGUGCUGCAGC